UCCGGUGCCUGACCAGGACGCCACGCUCCAGGACUGGUGGCUGCGUGCUCGCGAUGCCACGCCACCCCCGCUCCGCAAAGCGCUGGCCUCGGUUGCGCUCCUUGUGCCUUGGAUGAUCUGCCUUGGAUGAUCUGCCUUGGAUGAUCUGGAAGCAUAGGAACGCGUGUGUUUUUGACCAUGUAACCCCAUCGCUAGUUGAGCUCGCCGAUGCGAUCAAGGAUGAGUCCAGGAGUUGGGCUAAGGCAGGGGCCAAAUGGCUUAGGGUCACCCUGCCACCCUCCUGGGACGUUCAUUGAUCCAUUUGUAACACCGUUGUACUAGCCUCUUAGGAGGAUGUCCCCCCUCUUUUCAAUGCAAUGAAACGCAAAGUCUUUU
rnacentral:lncRNA from 1 species